AUAACCCUUAAAUGGCUUUUAAGUGUUCAAGUGAAAGGAAUAGUUACACUUGUUUUACUUUAAAUCAAAAGCUAGAAAAGAUUAAGCUUAGUGAGGAAAGCAUGCUGAAAGCCAAGGUAGGCCAAAGGUUAGGCCCCUUGCGCCGGUUAGCCAAGUUGUGAAUGCAAAGAAAAGUUCUUGAAGGGAAAUGAAAGUGCUAUUCAGUGAAAACAUAAAUGAUAAGAAAAGAAAACAGCCUUAUUGCUGAUAUGGAGAAAGUUUUAGUGUCUGGAUAGAAGUACAAACCAGCCACAACAUUCCUUUAAGCCAAAGGCAGAUCAGAGCAAGGCCCUGACUCUUCAAUUCAAUGAAGGCUGAGAGAGGUGAGGAAGCUGAAGUAGAAAAGCUGGAAGCUAGCAGAGGUUGGUUCAUGAGGAUUAAAGAAAGAAGCUGUUUCCAUAACACAAAAGUGCAAACUGAAACAGAAAGUGCCGAUGGAGGAGCUGCAGCAAGUUAUCCAGAAGAUCUAGCUAAGGUAACAAAUGGAGGAGGCUACACUAAAGAACAGGUUUUCAAUGGCAACAAAACAGCCUUCUAUUGGAAGAAGAUGCCAUCUAGGACUAGCUAGAGAGGAGAAUCAAUGCCUGGCUUCAAAGGGCAGGAUGACUCUUGUUAGGAGCUAAUACAACUGAUAACAUUAAGUUAAAGACAAUGUGCAUUUACCAUUCCAAAAUCCUAGGGUCCUUAAGAAUGAUGCUAAAUCUACUCUCCCUGUGCUCUAGAAAUGGAAAAAUAAAGCCUGAAUAACAGCACAUCAGAUUAUAGCAUGGCUUUCUGAAUAUUUCAAACUUACUACUGGGAUCUCUACUCAGAGAAAAAUAUUAUUUUCAAAAUAUUACUGCUCAUUGACAAUGUACCUGGUCACCCAAAAGUUUUGGUAGAGAUGUACAAGGAGACUAAUGUUGUUUUCAUGUCUGCUAAUGUAACAUCUAUUCUUCAGCCCAUGGCUGAAGGAGUGAUUUUUACUUUUAAGUCUUAUUAUUUAAGAAAUACAUUUUGUAAGGUUAUAACUUUCAUAAUAAUGAUUCUUCUGAUAGAUCUGGGCAAAGUAAAUUGAAAACUUUCUGGAAAUAAUUCACCAUUCCAGAUGCCGUAAAGAACAUUCGUGAUUUGUGGAAUGAAGUCAAAUUAUCAAUAUUAACAACAGUAUAGAGGAAGUUGAUUCCAACCCUCAUGAAUGUCUUUGAGGGGUUUAAGACUUCAGUGGAGAAAAUAACUGCAGAAAUGGUGGAAAUAACAAGAGAACUAGAAUUAGAAAUGGAGACUAAAGAUGUGUAUCAUGCAAUCUCAUGAUAAAACCUCAAUGAAUGAGGAGUUGCUUCUUGCGGAUAAGCAGAGAAAAUGUUUUAUUGAAAUAGAAGCUAUUCCUGGUGAAGAUGCUGUGAACCUUGUUGAAAUAACAACAAAUGAUUUAGAAUAUUUCAUAAGCUUAGUUGAUAAAUUAGUGGCAGGUUCUGAGAGGACCGACUUCAAUUUUGAAAAAGUUUCUACUGUGAGUAAAAUGCUACCAAACAGCAUCACAUGCUACAGAGAAAACUUUCAUGAAAGGAAGCUAAUCAAUGCAGCUAACUUUAUUGUUGUCUUAGUUUAAAAAAUUGCCACAGCCCCCCAGACCUUCAGCCGCCACCACCUUUAUCUGUCAGCAGCCAUCAACCUCCAGGUAUAAGCCUGGUUUUGCAGUAUAUACAGCAAGCCAUAGGAAGUUUCAUUGGAAGCGUUGUGGAACUCAUUGAGAGUUGAAUGGAAGAAAGAACCUAUAGCAGAAAUUUCCAGUUGCUUCAAAUACCUAAGCAGAGAGUGAAGAGUUCCUCCUCCCCAGCUAAAUUAGGCUCCCAGAAAGGAAAUAUGCUUCUCUCUCACAGUCUGCCACUUUUAAACAACCUCAAAGGCCUAUUCCCCAUGGGUUAUACUUUGGCAGGACACUGCUGUUAGCCUGUGUAUGGGGUCAUGUGAAAUACUGUGAUCUGGAGAGUCAGUGGUCCUCUACUUACUACUGGAUACCACCUUUCCUGUGGCUCCUGCAUGGGAAAAGAAAUCUCCAUGUUUACUGCAGCGGGGAAACAAUGGGACUUUUUGGGGAAUUGUGCUACAUUCAGUUAUUUACGCUUCUACAUAUUUGUUCAGUUCUGAACAAUCACUAAUUCAACACUGGGAGUUUAUGGCUGUAUGGAUUUCCCUAACUACACACCCAACCAUUUAUAAGCACAGCUGGAAGUUUCCUUUUAUAUUGCACCAAUCACUUGCUAGUAAAGAUGGAUGCACUAACCCACAGAUCUGAGAAAGCCAGCCACAUUGGUUUUAUCUGGAUCUGAAUUCUUUGUAUUAGUUAAUUUACUUAAGAAGCCAGUCUAAAGAGCUGCCACCCAUUCUUGUGUGUUGAGCUUUUGCAAUUUUUAUUUAGUGAAGAUGCCAAAAGCUUCGAAGGACCCACCAAGCAGUGAUCUUGUUUAAAGGUUGAUAGAGGAUUUUACAUUCAUCAUCUUGACAGCCAUAAAGGCACAUAUUAUUUUCAGAUAAUAAAUAAGACAGGAAGAGUCUAGCCUCUAGCUUCAUGCAGAAGAUGCAAAUCUGAGGCUUUGGAGGCUCAGAAAGGUCAACUUUUCUUUGCAACACAUUCUGAUUGUUUUCAUCUUCUUAUAGGCACUUGGCCUGUUUUGUCUAAGUUUAACAUAAGCCUUUUUCACACAGGUGCUUUUCUUGGCAUCCACAGAGGAAAUGAGGAAACUGUGCCAAAUUAAAAUGAGCACAUUUUGAAAAUACGGAAAUUUGAUCCUUGUAUUGAUUCCUUUUCAUAGAAGAGGCAAUAAAAGCCAUUGUAGAGAUGAAUUGAGAUUGUGGUCUCCCUUAAGAAUUAAAAUAUAUAUAUAAACCAUUCUGUCAAGCUUUGAACACUUCUAUUCAUCUAUUUUGACCAGAAAAUUUUAAAAAGAAGAAUUUAUCAUUAGUCCAGUAAACUUCAGUGCAUCAUUGUCUUAGCACUUUAUAACUAAAGCUUAAAAAUAAAGUAAUGCUAUUAGGAAGUGCCCUGGACCAAGCUCAGAAAAUAUGAAAGUUGCUUCUAGUUUUUUUUUUCCAUUAACUAGCAAUGUGACAAUGAAUGAAUUGUGUCACUUUACAGCUGUUGAUAUUGGAACUAUUGUAUACUAAGGACACAAAAGACUGCAAAUUAGGUAGCAAGUUAAAAAGUAGCAAACAUGUUAAAAAUAGGAAAAGUCUGUUUUCUUCCUAAAUGCAACCCAUUUUGAAGAACACGUUUAUCUAAAUCUAGUAUGGAAUACCUCA
rnacentral:lncRNA from 1 species